rnacentral:lncRNA from 1 species
UGUUCAACUUGGAAUCAACAUUUCAAAGCCUAAUCCACUCAAAGACAUGGGCUUUGGAAGUCUAUAAAUACAAGGUCCUCAAACAAGCAUAAAGGUCGACAAUUUCUACAUUGAAUGGCCGAAAUUCUCACAAAAGGAGAACCUCUGCCAAAUCUUUGAAGACUAAUACACUGCCAAAGCUCUCUUCAAAGAACGCACAACCAAAGCCAAAGCUUUCUUUUGACCAAAGAAGAAGCAUUCCUUUGAAGAAUUAACAAGCACUUGUGCCGAUUCCUUCAAGACUUUAUUGCAAACUCAAAACUUGUAAUGAUGUUUGUUCCAAGAUCAAGUCGCCAAGACCCUUGAAUCAACGAAAUUCUACAUCAACAUUCCGUUUGCCAUAGUCCUAAGCUUGAGGUGAAGACUAUCCAAGCAUCGUUUGAAGCUCAAAACAUGAAGCAAUCGUUCAUUCGUUCGUCCGAGAUGAAGUCAUUGUAACCCUUAGAUCAACAACCUACACAUCUACAUCAAAUUUGAAGACUGAAUUAGAGGAAAGUUGUAAAUAGAGAUUGUAACCUACAAAUUCAAAUCAAUACAAAUCUACUUUGUACAUGUG